rnacentral:rRNA from 1 species
AUUGAACGCUGGCGGCAGGCUUAACACAUGCAAGUCGAGCGGGGUGAUGGUGCUUGCACUAUCACUUAGCGGCGGACGGGUGAGUAAUGCUUAGGAAUCUGCCUAUUAGUGGGGGACAACAUCUCGAAAGGGAUGCUAAUACCGCAUACGUCCUACGGGAGAAAGCAGGGGAUCACUUGUGACCUCGCGCUAAUAGAUGAGCCUAAGUCGGAUUAGCUAGUUGGUGGGGUAAAGGCCUACCAAGGCGACGAUCUGUAGCGGGUCUGAGAGGAUGGUCCGCCACACUGGGACUGAGACACGGCCCAGACUCCUACGGGAGGCAGCACUGGGGAAUAUUGGACAAUGGGGGGAACCCUGAUCCAGCCAUGCCGCGUGUGUGAAGAAGGCCUUAUGGUUGUAAAGCACUUUAAGCGAGGAGGAGGCUCUUUUGGUUAAUACCCAAGAUGAGUGGACGUUACUCGCAGAAUAAGCACCGGCUAACUCUGUGCCAGCAGCCGCAGUAA